rnacentral:lncRNA from 1 species
GUUGACAAUGUUGUUAAAAAUAUUAAGAAGUAGGAAUAUUAAAAAAAGAAUUCUCAAUUAUGAUAACGUGUAUGCUAUUUUUUGUGCUAGUACAGCCCUACUGUGGUAUUAAGGAUGUUUUUUCCUUUAAAUUUUUGUAUUUGAAAAUAAAAGCAUAUUAAUUAAUCAAACACCUCUGGCGAGAAAACAAUGUACUUCUUAUCUUAGAACUCCAUUCAAUAGAGCUUAAACAAUUACAGAGAACAGUAAACAAAUUAAAAUCUGCAGAAUAAUUUUACUUUUAUUAGGUUCAGACAUUAUUUUUUUCUUUUGUCUUACCUUCUUCCAGGGGUUUAUGGGCAGACCUAUUUUGACCAUUGGAAUUUAUUUCCUGAAGGCGUAAACAUUUUAUCCGUCCAAGCUGAAAGGCACAGUUUUUUUUUUUUUACCUGUUAGGAGAAAGUUUGUCUGAAGGCAAAGAUACUUUCCUGAGCAUAAAUAAAUUGAAAUUAAAAUCAAUCAACUGAGAUAUUGUCAGAGGAUGCUUCUGAAAGGGGUUGAUUGAGAACACCUGUGGGGAGGCGUGGCUACUGCAGUGAGAGGGCUUUUAUUUGUGACUAAAGGCCUUCACAAGAGUACAGAAAAAGGGAAGAAAAAGGGGUGGAAGGGGACGGAGAGUCGGAGCGGAGGCGCUCAGACGCCGCAUGGCGGAGGACGAGAGGGCUGCCUCCCAGGGUGCGACGCACGGAGGACGAGAGGGCCGCCUGCCGGUGCUACGACGCCCGGAGGACGAGAGGGACCGCUGCCGACGCCCUGCUCAGAGGGAUCACCUGCCGACGCUGUAUAUUCGGAGCAGCUCCACCUGCUCGCUCCUGGUUCUCUUGGGCGCGGGAGGACUUCGGCGUCACCUCGUGAGAGCUAAGUUGACCCCACCAGCUGAUUAGUUUGUUUUGAACUGUAUCUUCUUUAAAGAGUUUGAUUUUGUUUUGCUUUGGGGUUCGUUACACUUAUUUUGCUUUGUUUUGCAUGCUUUAGUUGUUUAGAUGUUUUUCUUUGCUGGUGGGGUAGCAAGGUGGAGGGAGAGAACCUUGUGACCCAGAAGAGUGGAGUGGACUUCCUGAUUACGUCCAAAAAAAAAGAAAAAAUAACUCUUUUCUUCUUUCUUUUAGUUGGCGGUUUUAUGGACAGGAGCUUACGCCUAUUUUAUUGUUGUGGCUUUUUACAUGUUUUUAACACUUUUUAGCUUUUAUGGACAAUUAUAUUUUAUUAAACUAAGUCUUUGAAACGUGUCUCUGGCUUGCUGCAUUAUUGGGUGCCCAGACGUCUCCCCAGCGGAUCUCCAAAGUGACCCCCUCCCUUGCACCUACGUGACAAAGAUAUGAUUAGGAUUCUGUUUAAUGAGGUGCAUCA